AUUUGGAUGACCCUUCCGGACUGGGGGCAUUCUGCAUCUCUGCUGAACAGGACAGGGGGAGAAGAGGGGAUGAUGCAGGAGACAGACAGCAGUACUGGCAAAGAUUUCAAUCACGGGUGAUGGAUCCAUAUUUGGAUGGCCUCAUUGCUCAUCUCGAGAGACAUUUUCUUGAGGUUGGAGUCGUGGCUGCAUUUGGGAUACUUGGUCCACAAGCAGCUCCACUCCCUGACAAGACUGCACACACACAGCUGCAGAUACUAGUGGAGAAGUUUUGUUCCCGUGUUUGGCACAGUCCUUGAGGAAUGGACCUCUUUCAAGGAGCAAGUGGUCUCUGGUCCACUCAAGAACAAGACACAGUCGACCAAACCGUCUGAACUGUCCUCAAAAUAUGAGGAGUUUGGUGUCUUGUAAUACUAACACAAUACAAUAACAAUUCUGACAACACUAUUAGCCCUUACAACUUCCAGGGUGCCACAUAUGAGGUUUAUGUCUUUUAAUUGGACCAAAAGCCCAGUUGUUUUCUGAAGGCUCAUUACUCUGGAAGUGACUUCUUACUACUGCCACAAACAAAGUCACUUUGCUAUCAUCGGAUUCUCACAAUUGUUUAUCUAAAUUAUACAUGCCUAGGGCACGACCACCAUUUUAAACCAGAGAACAAUGGAGAGGUGUUCCGGAAUUUGUUUCAAUUGUCCUAUUAUGACUUUGUAUAUACCUUGAAUAAAAACAAUUAGCACUUCAGUGGCAAUUACUUAUGGUAUUACUCAUGGUAUUAUGAUACUACUCAUAGUAUUACUUAUGGUACUACUCAUGGUAUUGUGGUAUUACUUAUGGUAGUACCUAUGGUAUUUGUGUAGUUUGGCUUUCUUGAAGAAAUGUUACUUUCUUGAUUCUUGUUCUGAGUUUGUACUCUUGUUUGAUGCACUUAUUAUAAGUCGCUUUGGAUAAAGCGUCUGCUAAAAGACAUGUAAUGUAGUGUAUUAACUACUUUCGACCGUGUUUUUGCUGAUUUCUGGAGAAACAGCUGAUCGUUCACAUUAAGUUGUCCAGACGUGAGAGCUUAUUCGUUAAAAUUCUUUUGCCUCCCAUCAUUCACCUUGUGGUGGGUAGUAAUAUUCAGUACCUCACUUUUUCCCAUGAAAGACAUUUUACACUCGGUGGUGUUGAGGGAAUUGAUCCAAAAGGAUUCAGCCAUGCCGUCCAAAUGUCCUGUGAUGUGUUUGGGAUCGUCUGCCUGAGGGUUCAAACAAAGACACCGCACACGUCGACUGACGAUGUCAAGCAAAUUAACAUUCCUGGUUUAUUCCUUAAUUCCCGCAUUGAUAGGACUCCAGCUGAUGCGUUCUCCAUCGCACCUUUCACGCGUGACUUCCCCAAAAGCAACAAUUUGCGGGCCAUUUAAUUGGCUCCGCAUUAUCGAGCGGCGCCGGAUGACGGCAAAUUGCCAACGCAAAGCAUGUCUCAUUGCAAAGACAAAGAAAUGUGGGCGGACUACAAGUGAGCUGGUAAUCCCGCUCUAUUUAUUCAUUACGCGGUGGGAGACGAUACGGAGGGACCUGUGUCAGGCCUGAUAAUAAUAAUUCAUUACAACGCACAGGUCUGAAGAUGAUAUGAAAAUGGAAGAUACAACAUUGUUCCUAAAGUGCAGUUUGUUGGAAGGCAAUUAUAAUGCAUUGAAGGAGUGGCUGCCACGAUGAAUAUUACACAUUUUUUCUUAUCUUGACAUUCAGAGCAGUUUCUCUGUUGCUAAUUAUUGCUGCAAAAGAAAGAUUUCUCAGUCCGUAGAGCACGGAGCUCGGGUACCUGCCACGACUGGAAUACUAGUUACAUCAUAGGAGGCAGACAUUGGACUUCUCCUAAAAACUGCAUAUCGUGCAGUCAUGUCCAGUCAAUCCCCCCCUCCCCCACACACACUCCACCAGAGAACAGAAAAGGAAAAGUUACGAAACAUCCUUUAAACACACUUUUUUUACAAAAGGGAAACAUCAUAUUUUCCCUGUUUGUAUCUCGAUUGACACACCAACACCUUCCUUACACCGUCGAUGUCUCGAACUGUAGAAUAGGUCACAGACAAGACAAAGAGUUUCAUGUUUAUCUUUAACUCAACACCUAAUAUGGUAUUACUGAUGGUACUACUCAUGGUAUUACUCAUAGUAUUACUUAUGGUAUUAUGGUGUUACUCAAAGUAAUAUUCAUGGCAUUAUGAUACUACUCAUGGUACUCAUGGUAUUAGUCAUGGUUUCACUUAUGGUUGUACUUAUUAUUUUUGUAGUUUGGCUUUCUUGAAGAAAUAUUACUUUCUUGAUUCUUGUUGUUCCGAGUUUGUUCUCUUGGUUGACGCACUUGUUGAAAAUUGCUUUUGAUAAAAGCGUCUGCUAAAUGACAUGUAAUGAAAUAAAUAAGUUCUGAUAUUA